GAUAAGGUUAAGUGAAUAAGGGCGCACGGUGGAUGCCUUGGCACUAGGAGCCGAUGAAGGACGGGACUAACACCGAUAUGCUUUGGGGAGCUGUAAGUAAGCUAUGAUCCAGAGAUUUCCGAAUGGGGGAACCCAAUAUCUUUUAUAGGAUAUUACUUUUCAGUGAAUACAUAGCUGAUUAGAGGUAGACGCAGAGAACUGAAACAUCUUAGUACCUGCAGGAAGAGAAAGAAAAUUCGAUUCCCUGAGUAGCGGCGAGCGAAACGGGAAGAGCCCAAACCAACAAGCUUGCUUGUUGGGGUUGUAGGACUCCAAUAUGGUAGUCUGUUAGUAUAGUUGAAGGAUUUGGAAAAUUCCGCUAAAGAGGGUGAAAGCCCCGUAGACGAAAUGCUGACAACACCUAGGAGGAUCCUGAGUACGGCGGAACACGAGAAAUUCCGUCGGAAUCCGCGGGGACCAUCCCGCAAGGCUAAAUACUCCCUAGUGACCGAUAGUGAACCAGUACCGUGAGGGAAAGGUGAAAAGCACCCCGGAAGGGGAGUGAAAUAGAUCCUGAAACCGUGUGCCUACAACAAGUCAAAGCUCGUUAAUGAGUGAUGGCGUGCCUUUUGUAGAAUGAACCGGCGAGUUACGAUUGCAUGCGAGGUUAAGUCGAAGAGACGGAGCCGCAGCGAAAGCGAGUCUGAAUAGGGCGAAUGAGUAUGUAGUCGUAGACCCGAAACCAUGUGAUCUACCCAUGUCCAGGUUGAAGGUGCGGUAAAACGCACUGGAGGACCGAAC
rnacentral:rRNA from 1 species